UUCAGAGCUAAUGAGGACUAUCAGCUGUACAUUGCCAAACUGAAUAUGCCAAUAAACACAUCUCACAAGUUUUGGCUUCAACAUAUUCAUCUCCCCUCUGGAAUUCAGGCUACUACAGAUCUCGCUCCUGAAGACUGCAGUGAAGUGGUGCAGGUGCACAGGUGCAAAGAGGGGUAGUCUUACACGGUGAGUAUAUCCCAAACUCUAUAUUUUAACUGGAAAAGUUGGGGGUUGUCUUAUAUGCCCAGUCUUCUUAUAUGCCGGAAGAUACUGUAUGUUUUUUUUUUAAAAAAAAAUUAAUCAUGUGUAUUGAUGAAAUCCAAAUAUGGAUGCAUUUUUCUCUUUUGGAAGUACAUCAUAUGUCUCAGCACAGCUGAGGCAAAUUUCUAGAG